UCAGCUCCCCUCGGCAUUUCCCCAUCCCAGGGCAGCCACGACUGAGACAGAAGCCAGGGAAGGGGAUAGGGAGGGGGUAGCCGGAGGAAGAGAUGCCGGCCCCUCGGGAGACAUCAGCUCGGGGUCCUAGGAUGCCAGAGAGCUUGCAGACUAACUGCCUGUGUGUCCAGGUGAGGAAGCGGGAGGCUGUAAGAAUUCCGCAAUCUGAGUGGAUGAGACAGAACCCAAAUCUCCUGAGUCCACAUCCAACUUCUCAGAAAAAGCAACAGCCUGGUCUCUCUGCUGUGGAAGCUGCAGGGAAACCAUGACCAAGAAAAAGUCAGAACCGGAGCACAAGAUGACUCUUGCAUUUGAAGCUGCUUGCAAGGGACCAAAGUCUGGAGAUGGAGAGGGUCCCCCUAAGGCCUCCCAGAUGUAACCUCGGAGCCAGGCAUGUCUGAUUUGUUGCUCUUAGGCUGCAUACACCCUGAGAUAGCAAUGAACUUGGCCCCACACAGCAUCCUGAACUCACUCCCAACGUUAUGAGGUACUUUAUAGUGGUCAUUGGUUUUUGGUAACGUGAUUGCCUAGUUCUCCAGUAUGAUUUAGCGAUGGUGUGAAUGUUGUGGAUGACAACUUUGUGUCACGAUAUUUAAAAGUUGGCCACACCUGCAUCCGGUGUUCAAGACAAUCAAGACUCUCAGCACCUAGAGGCGGGUGGGCAGGAAGGCGAAGGACAGAGGAUGUGGAAGGACCAAGAAGGCAGCCCUUAGCCAAACCCGGCAGGGUUUUCAGUGUGUGGAGUGGAGGAGCCUCUUCUUCCUUGCUAUAGAGGAGCUCUGGCUGCCUCUGGAUCCUGCUAUGCUCUCCUCAGCGCGAUGGACUGUCCCUUCAGACAACGAGCUGGAAUAAGCUCUUUCUCCUGCAUCUGUCAGGCAUUUGGUCACCGAGACAGAAAAAGCAAGGAACACACCGAGAGAGUGAGCCUCACUAUGUCCCAGGCUAAACGUCUCAGCUUCCAGAGUGAGAGUAUCAGGAGACAGGGCCUCUGGGAGGUAAUGAGACAAUGAGGGUGCCCCAUGAUGAGCCUUGUACUGUCUUUUUGUUUAAUUGGGGUCUCCCUAUGUGGAUUUCGCCUUGAUUGCCGGAGUCCUAGGACUGUGAGCAUGUGCCAUCCAGAUGCAGGUGAGCUCUUAUGAGAAGAGCUGUGUACAACCUGUUCCCUCUCUCUUUGUUUGUGUGGAGGUGCAGCACCCCAGAAGCUGAGUGGAAGCCAGGAAUAGGUUCUCAUGAGACGUGGCACCUGUCAGCAUCUGGAUAGUGGAUUCCCCAGGCUCUAGAGCCUUUGGAAAAAUUCCACCCUUGUUUCAGUUGGACCAAGCAAAAAGGGAAUUGUCCACUCUUGAGCCGGAAUAGCCAGGGGGUACCAGCCUCCUCCGGAGUCCAGGUGGACAAGUAGAACAGGCGAGGAGCGGCAGAAAGGAGGCUGAGCAGGACCCCCUCAGCUGAGGCCGAGGGAGGGGAGAACAGAGAAGCCUCUCCACCUCGGAGUGCUUUCCAGCUCUUCCCUCACCUAGGAGGCUGUGAGGGGCUGCAACCCCACAGUAAGAAGUGAAUCUUCCGUGUGGAUGCAUGAAAUUCACUCUCGUUCCCUCUUUUUCCCUCGAAGUCACGGCACACAGCUCUCAUUGUUCCUCUUAUCUGGGGCCUCCAGCGCUGCAUUUGUUCAUUUAAGAAAUAUUUACGGAACACCCACUGUGCUACACACACACACACACACACACACACACACACACACACACACACAGAGUGUGUAGGUUCCAAUACAGGAGGGAGACUUAUGUUCCGAAAAUUUAAGCUCUGAAGUCAGUUUGCUUUUGCCUGUGAGUACUGCUUGCUAAGCAAACUGGGGUGAAUUACACAAGGUCUCAAUGCCUGCUUCCUGGUCUUAACACAGAGUAAGCACAGCUCUUUGCUUCCGAGGCUGUGGUGAGGACUGAAUGAGCAAGCAUGGAGUGUGUACACAGCGCCCAGCACAAAGCAGCCUUUCAGUAAGCAUUAGCCAUUGUUUCCCCUCACCUCGCUCAGCUGGAGGCAGUCAGACCCAUAAAUGACCUGUUCUUCAAAUCUGCCUCUUGCUCAACCUGGUGACUCAGAGGCCAUCACCUGGUGCUCACCACCUCUCACCCCCUGAGGCUCAUCCACACUCAGCCGGCAGACCUCUGUCUGCUCACACUGCGGCUAUUCCCGGCCUUCACUGCUGUCAGCCCCACUAGGGAUCCCAUACAGUGAGAGGGUAGCCUCAGCUCUUUGAAACCCUCCAGAUGGAAGUCUGAACUAGCUGUUCCUUCUCAGCUGUCUGGGCACAGAGGAGAACAAGGAGCCUUCGGGGGUGGAGUCCAGAUACCUACACUACAGGAGUAGGGAACACAGGACUUGGCCGGGGAGAAGGCUCAGGGCACUCCAGCUCAGAGGGAUCCAUGUGUGGCAUUCCAAAGUGGGAAGCAGUUGGCGCUCAUCCUGGGUGCAGAAAUGGCUGGGCCCACUCAGUGGGUCAGGAUCGGGUCAUGCCAAGGCCCAAGUAGCAUAGUGGCUCCUCUAUUCUUGAACAACUGUGCUUGCUGCCCAUUUGGCACAGGGCUUGAGAACUAGGAGUGUGCACUCAGUCAGGGCAAGAGGAGGGACCAGGACACACACACACACACACACACACACACACACACACACAC